AGCGAACGCUGGCGGCAGGCCUAACACAUGCAAGUCGAACGAAGUCUUCGGACUUAGUGGCGGACGGGUGAGUAACACGUGGGAACGUGCCCUUUGGUACGGAAUAACUCAGGGAAACUUGAGCUAAUACCGUAUGUGCCCUUCGGGGGAAAGAUUUAUCGCCAUUGGAGCGGCCCGCGUCUGAUUAGCUAGUUGGUGAGGUAAAGGCUCACCAAGGCGACGAUCAGUAGCUGGUCUGAGAGGAUGAUCAGCCACAUUGGGACUGAGACACGGCCCAAACUCCUACGGGAGGCAGCAGUGGGGAAUCUUGCGCAAUGGGCGAAAGCCUGACGCAGCCAUGCCGCGUGAAUGAUGAAGGUCUUAGGAUUGUAAAAUUCUUUCACCGGGGACGAUAAUGGCGGUACCCGGACAAGAAGCCCCGGCUAACUUCGUGCCAGCCGCCGCAGUAAAAC
rnacentral:rRNA from 1 species